rnacentral:rRNA from 1 species
GAUGAACGCUGGCGGCGUGCCUAAUACAUGCAAGUCGAGCGAACAGGCGACGAUCUUGCUACUCUGACGUUAACGGCGGAAGGGUGAGUAAAACGUGGAUCCCCUACCUAUAAGACUGGGAUAACUUCCGGAAACCGGAGCUAAUACGGGAUACUAUAUUGAACCGCAUGGUUCAAUAGUGAAAGACGGUUUUGCUGUCACUUCUAGAUGGAUCCGCGCCGCAUUAGCUAGGUGGUAAGGUAACGGCUUACCAAGGCAGCCAUGCGUAGCCGACCUGCGAGGGGGAUGGGGGACACUGGGACUGAGAGGCGGUCCAGAGACUGACGGGAGGCAGCGAUAGCGAAUCUACCGAGAAGGGCGAAAGCCUGACGGAGCAGCGCCGCGCUAGUGAUGAAGGUCCGCGGGUCGGAAAACGGUGUUAGGGGGGAAAAACAAUUUUGGAAGGAACGAUGCACGUCUUGACGGUACCUGAUCAGGAAGCAACGGCUAACUACGUG